CAUUUUGCAUAGAUGAGGUUUCCUUUACCAGGUGUCAACGAUGAACACAAUCUGCAAUUGAAGAGAGAGAGGAACAAAAUUAAUUAAAAUAAUUUCGGUGACACCAACAAUGAAAUGGCUGAGCCCAAAAUAAAUAUAUGACAAUCGUUUGGUACCGAAUGUAACUUUUCUUUAUCGUUUAGCAACAUAAAAAAAGCUUUUGAUUAUCAGUGGAAAACGAAGGUGAUGACGAUAACACACAGGUAUUCCAUUACUAAAACUAGGCUAAGUUGUUUCGGUGUUUCAUUAAAAGAUACUGGAAAAAUAAAAUCGAAAUAAAUUCAAUUAAAAUUUGUCACACGAAAUUGUGACUCAAUCA